UCGAUACGAUUCGGAACGCGACUCAAAAGACUACAGAAGUGGAAAGAGUGAAUUCCUCGUUUAUCCCAUCCUCCUGCACUGCAGCCCUAGGCUCCUGACCCUUCCCUGGCGCGUCUCCAUGCCAUUCCCUCGGGUCUUGCCACUGUCACCACAGGGAAGAGACCCCCGCCCAGACCCGAUCCGCGAUGAUGGCGGCGCACCCGGCCCCGCCCUCCGCCCGGUCGCCAUCUCCAUGGCCGGGCCGGGGGCGCCUCCUGGCGGCGGCGGCGCGGAGCCGUCCCGCACGAGGCCUAGAGCGAUGUAGUACCGACCUCCGGCCGCCAGGGGAUACCGCCUCCCCGGGCUGAGCCUGGCGACGCGCGCCUUCGCGCUGCCGCGUCUCCUCUGCGUCACCGCCCCGCGGCGAGUACGGCGCUCCAAGAUGGCGCCCGCCGUUCCCCCCCGGUGCGUGGGAGUGCCGCUGUGUGCGCUCGUGUUUUCGCUACGAUGGAGAGCACAGGGACAGGUUUCCGAGCAGAGCAGCCCGUCAGCCCCAGCACAGCGAGCUCUGCGGUUUUGAUGAAGAGAUGGCGUUUUGCAGUGAAAAUACAAAGAAAGAAGGAAGAGAAGCAGCCGUUUCCUUCCGAAGAUAAGGGCUAAGGUGCCGUCCUGAUUGCUGAGCAGGCUUUGCCUCCACGGGUCAAAUGAACCACGAAGGCAACGUGAGAACCUGAGUGCCCAGGCGGCCAGGCCAUGUGACAGCCCCGUGCUGCUCCGCCUCCUUACCGGCGGGGGAAGGCGCAGUAAGACGGAGCUGCGCGCCUCGUCCUCCUCUCACAAACCUUCCGAGCUGACGGAUGUUUCCUCCGGGCCUCUUAUUGCAGACACCUCCACCAUUUAUGUAUCCAAGCGAGCCGCGUGGGUGGAACUGGAUGUCACAGACAGGCUGAAAAUAACUCAGACUCUGAUACCUACCGGCCUGUGUGGAAAAUCUCGGGGAUCAGAUUGAAUCACGUUAUGCGUGGCUGGCAAACGCGCCGGGAUGCGCAGAUGGAGCAGUGGGGGUUAAGGAGAGGCUGAGGCGUUCUGUGGAGAGCCGGCAAGGACUCCACGGCUGAGCCUGCAGGGCUGCUUUCUUAAUGCCCAGAGUAGCAUAUGGGGAAGAGAAUUAUUUAGAAGGAUGUGUAAUUUCCUAUACGAUCAUCAUUAGGACUGGACAGAGUGGGCCAAGAUGUGACAGUGCGUACUCAGGUGAACUCUGAGCUUUCUGCUUCGCUCCGAAUGUAGAGCCCAGAGCUUCACCCAGCUGCUUGGUCAUUUCGCUGAGCACAGGCUGGCUUCCUUUGGGCACAUCUUAGAACCAGAACUCACAGUGAGCUGCUAAUAUUUUCCAAGGCCGUCCUGUUGGUCCGUGCCAGCCUCUAGAGGACAGGGAGAAGCAGUGCAAGGAGGGCCUGGGCGCAGUCCCACCCUGUGUCUUACCAGCACGACAUCCAUAGCUGCUAAUGUAAACGGCACAAGCGGGCACCUCGAUUCACAGCUCUGGAGCAGAAGCCAUCAGUGAAGAGUGGCAGAGCUUUAGCAACUUGCAGAGAGCUAAAAACAGAGCUUUGGUGGGAGACUCAAACUCCCAGAGGAUAUUCCCACAUUGAGGGAGAAGAUAGCCACGAUGCUGCCAGAGCUCCUGCUGCAGCACAGCUUUGGUACAUCAUACCCGCAUUAAAAGCUUUGUACUUCUCCUAAAAAUUACCCUCUAGGGUUUGUUUUCUCUUACCUGAGCUCCUUCCAAAGAUUAGUGUCAAAUUCACCACUCUCUUAAAACACCUACAAAGGCUUCAGCCGAAAGGUUUUCAUUUUAGGACAUUGAACAAAGAAUUUAGCCAGGCUCAAAACCUUUAUGCUGGUAAUGGUGCCACGCCCCAAGGGAAUUAAUUUGCCUAUCUCACACUGUGGGACUUCCCUGCUCCCAGAUGCCUCAGUCCAGACCACGCUUCCCAUGCUUCACCCUGAGGCUCUCGGCCCCACUCUUGCAGGAGAAAAACGCUGCUACUCUGAAAAACAUGGGUGAAAUUGUAAGUGGCACAGCAAGAACAUACCCCGAGCCCUGGAGCUGGUUUGCUCUCAGCCAGCUCAUUUCAGACUUGACUGUCCAGAAGUUUGAAUUGGGUCAGUGCAAUAAGCAGCAUAGAAGAGCCAUUCGGCCUGGGAGGGUGUUAGGUCCACUUGUUCUCAUAACAUCCCAGUGUGCUUGUGCAGCUCCUCUGAUCCCAAAUGAGCCUUUUGCUGUAGUGGGAAAGAUAACGCACGAUGUAAUUGUUGUUUGGUGGUGUGUUCUCUAGGUUUGUUGUUUUGUUGUAAGAAAGGCCUCCCAAUUCUCCUGUCACUACUUUCCAGGAAACUUGGUGUUUAUUAAGCACUGUGUAAAUUUGCAGCUCUCUCUAAAUGAAUAAUCAAUAGCAAUGAUAACAGCACAAAGUGCUUAGCCCCGCUCUGGUAAUAACUCAUGGCUGCUAACUUCUUGAUAAGGUCACUCACAUACACAGGAGUCUCCUUUCCAUAGGAGAGCACGAGGAGCAGGACAGAAGAUAUUUGUGUCCCCAGCCCGAAAGGAAAUGCUGAAAACAUAUUCCCUUCCAGCAGGUGACAAUGGUGGACAGCAACUUGAAGAGCUGUUCAGACGUAUCACGGGGCCUUAACCCCAACACUGAGCUCUGCAAACACGCACUUCCUGUUCUAGGAAAUUAGAAUCUUUGCAAGCAUCUCCUUGAUAAGAGUAUCCUUUUUUUCAUCUCCCCUCACAAACACACAAGAAAGGGAAAUUCCCAGUGGGUUGAAACACAGAGCAAGGAGCUGGUGCAGCUGUGACUGUAUUGGUAGUGCCACCACUAGCUGCAGUUAACAGGGCACAGCCUGGGUUGCACAGCACUCCAAGCUGUGUUAGGACCCCGCUUACUGCAGCUCUCCUACUUAGAAUGCCCCACAGCUCUUCAGGCAGGUAGGUAGAAGGGCUUUAGGAUUUUUACAGUGGCGCCACUGGCAGUAACCAAACCUAUGCCAUUUAAAAAUAGCUCGUGUGCAACCAACGGCUAAAUAUCAGCUCGCCAUCCCCCCCCCACCUUCCAGCAAAGCGGUUCCCUUCGCGGUGGAGCUGUGGCAGACAGCUGAGGUUGGCUCCGUGCAGUCUGCUUCUCUUCCACCACGUCCCUUUAAUCCUGGUUUAGGGUUCCCAAAUGCUUUAUGCCAUCCACCUGGCCUCCACUGUGACCUCUCCAAGGAGUUCACCAAGAGACAGGAGGCUGCAGACAUAAUCUCUUCCCUGCCCUUCUCUGUCAGGAAGCCCAGCUUUACAGUCACCUUUGGGCUUCUUCUUUGCCUCGGUUCUGCAGUAAAUCAAGUCCAUCUGCACAUUAAUUCCUUCCUGUCAGCUUCUUCCUCCACCUCUGCCCACUAUCCUACCCUUAGAUCCAGCAAUCUUCAGCAUGGGAAGAAUCCUUCUUAGGAUCCCAAAGGGAGUACCCCACCGUUAGAUAAUAAUCACGCAGAAAUAAUCACCGGGGGCUGGCAGGGGUUUGAAGCCUUUAAAGCC
rnacentral:lncRNA from 1 species